GACGAACGCUGGCGGCGUGCUUAACACAUGCAAGUCGAACGGAAAGGCCCUGCUUUUGUUGGGUUCUCGAGUGGCGAACGGGUGAGUAACACGUGUGUAACCUGCCCUUGACUUUGGGAUAACUUCAGGAAACUGGGGCUAAUACCGGAUAGGAGCUCCUGCUGCAUGGGGGGGGUUGGAAAGUUUCGGCGGUUGGGGAUGGAUUCGCGGCUUAUCAGCUUGUUAGUCGGGUAGUGGCAUACCAAGGCUUUGACGGGUAGCCGGCCUGAGAGGGUGACCGGGCACAUGGCGCCUGAGAGACGCCGCAGACGCGUAUGGGAGGCAGUAGGGGGGAGCAUUGCGCAGUGGCGGGGAGCGUGAGGCGACAAUGCCCGGUGCGUAAUACCGGGUUUCUAGUGAAGAACCGAUGUCGCCGGUGACGAGGAGUGAGUGACGGUAAUGGGUAAAGAAGCACCGGCUAACUACGUG
rnacentral:rRNA from 1 species